CUCUUUUGCUUAUUUAUGAUAGAUUUUACAGUGUUUUUGAUGCAAAAUUGUCUUACAGGAUGCAUGGGUUAAUAAUCAUUUUGAAUCAUUUACUACUCUAUAACCAGCCUUGUAGUAUGGUAGUGUAUUCUGAUAGUACCUUGGUUUAAUAAUGAAUGAACUUUGUUAAUCUAAUCCUGGGUAAUUCAGGAAACAGAAUGUCUUCCUCUUAAUGUCUUUUUCUGAUAAUGAUGGAGAUUUAUACUGAUGAAAUUGCUUCCAUGGAAGAUGAAGUACUUCUGAUGGCUGCUUUCAAUCAUUGGAGAGACUACAGAAGCACAAGGCUCCUCCUGGAGAAUGAAGCAGGCAUACUGCUGUCAAGGGCAAAGGAUCAGGCUGUGUUCACACGGCAGCUUCUCAUGGGGAGAACCCAAGGUUUAAAGAAGAGGAACUUUUUUCUCCUCCUGUGUCUUUCUGCAACAAAUAUGUAG
rnacentral:lncRNA from 1 species